UUAAGCGACUAAGCGUACACGGUGGAUGCCCUGGCAGUCAGAGGCGAUGAAGGACGUGCUAAUCUGCGAUAAGCGUCGGUAAGGUGAUAUGAACCGUUAUAACCGGCGAUUUCCGAAUGGGGAAACCCAGUGUGUUUCGACACACUAUCAUUAACUGAAUCCAUAGGUUAAUGAGGCGAACCGGGGGAACUGAAACAUCUAAGUACCCCGAGGAAAAGAAAUCAACCGAGAUUCCCCCAGUAGCGGCGAGCGAACGGGGAGCAGCCCAGAGCCUGAAUCAGUAUGUGUGUUAGUGGAAGCGUCUGGAAAGGCGCGCGAUACAGGGUGACAGCCCCGUACACAAAAAUGCACAUGCUGUGAGCUCGAUGAGUAGGGCGGGACACGUGGUAUCCUGUCUGAAUAUGGGGGGACCAUCCUCCAAGGCUAAAUACUCCUGACUGACCGAUAGUGAACCAGUACCGUGAGGGAAAGGCGAAAAGAACCCCGGCGAGGGGAGUGAAAAAGAACCUGAAACCGUGUACGUACAAGCAGUGGGAGCACGCUUAGGCGUGUGACUGCGUACCUUUUGUAUAAUGGGUCAGCGACUUAUAUUCUGUAGCAAGGUUAACCGAAUAGGGGAGCCGAAGGGAAACCGAGUCUUAACUGGGCGUUAAGUUGCAGGGUAUAGACCCGAAACCCGGUGAUCUAGCCAUGGGCAGGUUGAAGGUUGGGUAACACUAACUGGAGGACCGAACCGACUAAUGUUGAAAAAUUAGCGGAUGACUUGUGGCUGGGGGUGAAAGGCCAAUCAAACCGGGAGAUAGCUGGUUCUCCCCGAAAGCUAUUUAGGUAGCGCCUCGUGAAUUCAUCUCCGGGGGUAGAGCACUGUUUCGGCAAGGGGGUCAUCCCGACUUACCAACCCGAUGCAAACUGCGAAUACCGGAGAAUGUUAUCACGGGAGACACACGGCGGGUGCUAACGUCCGUCGUGAAGAGGGAAACAACCCAGACCGCCAGCUAAGGUCCCAAAGUCAUGGUUAAGUGGGAAACGAUGUGGGAAGGCCCAGACAGCCAGGAUGUUGGCUUAGAAGCAGCCAUCAUUUAAAGAAAGCGUAAUAGCUCACUGGUCGAGUCGGCCUGCGCGGAAGAUGUAACGGGGCUAAACCAUGCACCGAAGCUGCGGCAGCGACGCUGAUGCGUUGUUGGGUAGGGGAGCGUUCUGUAAGCCUGCGAAGGUGUGCUGUGAGGCAUGCUGGAGGUAUCAGAAGUGCGAAUGCUGACAUAAGUAACGAUAAAGCGGGUGAAAAGCCCGCUCGCCGGAAGACCAAGGGUUCCUGUCCAACGUUAAUCGGGGCAGGGUGAGUCGACCCCUAAGGCGAGGCCGAAAGGCGUAGUCGAUGGGAAACAGGUUAAUAUUCCUGUACUUGGUGUUACUGCGAAGGGGGGACGGAGAAGGCUAUGUUGGCCGGGCGACGGUUGUCCCGGUUUAAGCGUGUAGGCUGGUUUUCCAGGCAAAUCCGGAAAAUCAAGGCUGAGGCGUGAUGACGAGGCACUACGGUGCUGAAGCAACAAAUGCCCUGCUUCCAGGAAAAGCCUCUAAGCAUCAGGUAACAUCAAAUCGUACCCCAAACCGACACAGGUGGUCAGGUAGAGAAUACCAAGGCGCUUGAGAGAACUCGGGUGAAGGAACUAGGCAAAAUGGUGCCGUAACUUCGGGAGAAGGCACGCUGAUAUGUAGGUGAAGUCCCUCGCGGAUGGAGCUGAAAUCAGUCGAAGAUACCAGCUGGCUGCAACUGUUUAUUAAAAACACAGCACUGUGCAAACACGAAAGUGGACGUAUACGGUGUGACGCCUGCCCGGUGCCGGAAGGUUAAUUGAUGGGGUUAGCGCAAGCGAAGCUCUUGAUCGAAGCCCCGGUAAACGGCGGCCGUAACUAUAACGGUCCUAAGGUAGCGAAAUUCCUUGUCGGGUAAGUUCCGACCUGCACGAAUGGCGUAAUGAUGGCCAGGCUGUCUCCACCCGAGACUCAGUGAAAUUGAACUCGCUGUGAAGAUGCAGUGUACCCGCGGCAAGACGGAAAGACCCCGUGAACCUUUACUAUAGCUUGACACUGAACAUUGAGCCUUGAUGUGUAGGAUAGGUGGGAGGCUUUGAAGUGUGGACGCCAGUCUGCAUGGAGCCGACCUUGAAAUACCACCCUUUAAUGUUUGAUGUUCUAACGUUGACCCGUAAUCCGGGUUGCGGACAGUGUCUGGUGGGUAGUUUGACUGGGGCGGUCUCCUCCUAAAGAGUAACGGAGGAGCACGAAGGUUGGCUAAUCCUGGUCGGACAUCAGGAGGUUAGUGCAAUGGCAUAAGCCAACUUGACUGCGAGCGUGACGGCGCGAGCAGGUGCGAAAGCAGGUCAUAGUGAUCCGGUGGUUCUGAAUGGAAGGGCCAUCGCUCAACGGAUAAAAGGUACUCCGGGGAUAACAGGCUGAUACCGCCCAAGAGUUCAUAUCGACGGCGGUGUUUGGCACCUCGAUGUCGGCUCAUCACAUCCUGGGGCUGAAGUAGGUCCCAAGGGUAUGGCUGUUCGCCAUUUAAAGUGGUACGCGAGCUGGGUUUAGAACGUCGUGAGACAGUUCGGUCCCUAUCUGCCGUGGGCGCUGGAGAACUGAGGGGGGCUGCUCCUAGUACGAGAGGACCGGAGUGGACGCAUCACUGGUGUUCGGGUUGUCAUGCCAAUGGCACUGCCCGGUAGCUAAAUGCGGAAGAGAUAAGUGCUGAAAGCAUCUAAGCACGAAACUUGCCCCGAGAUGAGUUCUCCCUGACUCCUUGAGAGUCCUGAAGGAACGUUGAAGACGACGACGUUGAUAGGCCGGGUGUGUAAGCGCAGCGAUGCGUUGAGCUAACCGGUACUAAUGAACCGUGAGGCUUAACCUU
rnacentral:rRNA from 1 species